UACGUAGGGUGCGAGCGUUAAUCGGAAUUACUGGGCGUAAAGCGUGCGCAGGCGGUUCUGCAAGUCAGAUGUGAAAUCCCCGGGCUUAACCUGGGAACUGCGUUUGAAACUACGGAGCUAGAGUGCGGCAGAGGGGGGUGGAAUUCCACGUGUAGCAGUGAAAUGCGUAGAGAUGUGGAGGAACACCGAUGGCGAAGGCAGCCCCCUGGGAUAACACUGACGCUAGGGCACGAAAGCGUGGGGAGCAAACAGG
rnacentral:rRNA from 1 species